UUUUAAUUUGAUCCAUGAUGAUGAAGAUGAAGACUCGACAUCAUUAACUUUGCAUUACAUUUUGCCAACAACAACGUCCGUUUUACCCGUCAAUCAACCGGAGUCACGUGACGUGAGUCACGUAAGUUAGAUGACUCUACAGAAUUUUUUUUCACAUAACCCAAUUAAUUACAUGUUCGUAGGUAUAUGGGUCUAUGUUAAUUUUAGGAAUGAAAAAUACAAUUUACUUGGAAGCAGACGCAGCAGUUUGUGUUGUGUGGCCUCUGGCCUGGGAUCAGUCAAUCCCUUGCUCAAGGCGAGCGAGGGACUUGCAGUCGCAAGUUGAUUCCCCGCCCCCCUCACCCGUGCCUCUUCUGACACGCACACAACUGUGUUUCUCAGCACUAACUUGAUAUGGAAAUGAGCGGUUUUGAUAUUAUUAUUUUUUUUUAGGGCGCUCGUGCGCACUCACAUAGAUUGCGCCCUGGGCGUUCGCCCACAUUGCCCAUAGCAAAAACCGUCCCUGCUUAUAGCUAAUGUUAAAGGUUUGAAAGAUAGCACUGUUAGCCUGUUAUAUCAAAUUAGUACACCCGAUUGUUUUGUUAAAUAUAUGUAUUGGUGUGUAUGUAUAUGUUAAUGAAAAAAGGUAGCGUCAGAAAAUCUGUUUUUUUAAUGUAGCGUGAAAGUUAACCAUUUAUUGACUGUUUAGAGGUUGUAAGGCUUUUACCUAACUGUAUUUAGUAUUAAUGAUGCUGCAUUCUUUCCUCAGAAGCUAAAGUUUUUCAAAGACAUUUGUGGACUUUGCAGCUAAUGAUUUCCUACGGCUGAACCAAAACCUGCCAGACUAAAGUUGAUUUGGGAGAGAAAGACGUUGUAAACUUAAUCAUCUUGACAUUCUUCAAUGAGUAAUUGUUCAAUUUUUAGGCAAAUACUGUACACUUUGAAUGCUGUGAAUAAAACUAUAUUUUAAAUAUAUUUAAAAUGAA